CGAAUGCUGACAUAAGUAACGAUAAAGCGGGUGAAAAGCCCGCUCGCCGGAAGACCAAGGGUUCCUGUCCAACGUUAAUCGGGGCAGGGUGAGUCGACCCCUAAGGCGAGGCCGAAAGGCGUAGUCGAUGGGAAACAGGUUAAUAUUCCUGUACUUGGUGUUACUGCGAAGGGGGGACGGAGAAGGCUAUGUUGGCCGGGCGACGGUUGUCCCGGUUUAAGCGUGUAGGCUGGUUUUCCAGGCAAAUCCGGAAAAUCAAGGCUGAGGCGUGAUGACGAGGCACUACGGUGCUGAAGCAACAAAUGCCCUGCUUCCAGGAAAAGCCUCUAAGCAUCAGGUAACAUCAAAUCGUACCCCAAACCGACACAGGUGGUCAGGUAGAGAAUACCAAGGCGCUUGAGAGAACUCGGGUGAAGGAACUAGGCAAAAUGGUGCCGUAACUUCGGGAGAAGGCACGCUGAUAUGUAGGUG
rnacentral:rRNA from 1 species